UACAGAGGAUGCAAGCGUUAUCCGGAAUGAUUGGGCGUAAAGCGUCUGUAGGCGGCCUUUUAAGUCCGCCGUCAAAUCCCAGGGCUCAACUCUGGACAGGCGGUGGAAACUACCAAGCUGGAGUACGGUAGGGGCAGAGGGAAUUUCCGGUGGAGCGGUGAAAUGCGUAGAGAUCGGGAGGAACACCUGUGGCGAAGGCGGCCGACUGGGCCGACCCUGACGCUGAGGCGCGAAGGCGUGGGGAGCGAACGGG
rnacentral:rRNA from 1 species